rnacentral:rRNA from 1 species
UACGUAGGGCGCGAGCGUUGUCCGGAAUUAUUGGGCGUAAAGAGCUCGUAGGCGGCCUGUUGCGUCUGCUGUGAAAUCCCGGGGCUCAACCCCGGGCGUGCAGUGGAUACGGGCGGGCUAGAGGCAGGCAGGGGAGACUGGAAUUCCUGGUGUAGCGGUGAAAUGCGCAGAUAUCAGGAGGAACACCGGUGGCGAAGGCGGGUCUCUGGGCCGUAACUGACGCUGAGGAGCGAAAGCGUGGGGAGCGAACAGG